AUACGUAGGGUCCAAGCGUUAAUCGGAAUUACUGGGCGUAAAGCGUCCGCAGGUUGGCUUGAUAAGAUAGACGUGAAAUCCCUGGGCUCAACCUAGGAAUUGCGUAUAUGACUGUCUCGCUAGAGUAUGGGAGAGGGGGGUGGAAUUCCGCGUGUAGCAGUGAAAUGCGUAGAGAUGCGGAGGAACACCGAUGGCGAAGGCAACCCCCUGGCCUAAUACUGACACUCAUGGACGAAAGCGUGGGGAGC
rnacentral:rRNA from 1 species